GACCACCAUGGACACUUCAGAGCCCAGUCCAACAAGGCAGGAGGAAGAGGAGGAGCAAAGCGGGAGUGAGGGUGCUGAGGAAAAGGAAGACACCCUGGCAUCCCUAGAUGCAUGCAGCCAGGAGCUGUUCUCAGGCCAGGAGGAAGGUAGAGAGUCGUAGCGGACGGUGCUUGGGGAAGGACAAACACCAGAGGAGGUUCCCGAUGCAACCUUGAGAUCUCAGCCGUCCUUGUUAUCACCGGCUGAGAGGCUGCAAAGACUCAGGAAGAGGCCACGUAGAAGCAAAGAGGACAUGCUGCAUGAAGUCAUGCAGCACUCCCUUAAUGAAAAU